GUCUAAAUUCCCACAAGGCUUCUUCCACCCUAAUGUCUAUCCAUCUGGAACUGUUUGCUUGUCUAUACUUAAUGAAGAUAGUGGGUGGAGACCAGCUAUAACAGUGAAGCAAAUUCUUGUUGGUAUCCAGGAUUUGCUUGACCAGCCAAAUCCUGCUGAUCCUGCUUAGACAGAGGGAUAUCAUCUAUUUAUCCAGGUAUCUAACCUAAGAAAUUGGACAUUUUUUUCUUUCUUUUGUAGUAACUUUCAUAGUUUAAAGAAUGACUGAUCAUAUAAUCCAUACCGAUCAGGGAUAUCAUUUGCUUUUCACACUAUUUUUCUUGAUAAUUAUCUUGAUAUUUGAUCUUUAUCUUGGAAUUUGUAAUCGAUUAAAAGUUUUUAUGAUAUAUUAUUAGGAUAUUGGUGUGGGAAGAUGGAUUCUGCAACUUUGCAGCGUCAGCAGCAGCACCUGAAAUAAACUCUGGUUGAUAGGGAAAGUUGCUGCAGAUCACAGUCACAAAUGGAUAUACAAAGAGCCUAAUGAACAAGAAAUCAACUUCUUGUCAGCGUGGCAUAAUUUGGCUGAUUCACAUCCUAGGACUUGGGAAGCACAGUUCCAAUCUCGAAUAAAAGACCAUAGCUCUCAUUACUGUAAGAGAAGGUGUUGUUCAAUUGGGAGCAAUUCACAAGGUUUUGUCUCUAGUCUAUAUAUAUGAUUUGAAAUAAUUAAGUCUGUAAUUGUGGUUAAUUAGUGAUUAAUGAAUUAAGGUGAUUGAGGACUUGAGCUAUGUGGUUCUACUGAGGAAGAAAUUCAGCUACACAGAAAGCAACAUAAAUUAACUUGAUAAUGUUAAAAGGUCUUUCAGGAUGGGGACCUUCAGUGUAAUUAUAUACUAUUAAUGUUAAAAUUUUAGAGCUUAGUUUGUGUGUAUGCUUUAAAUUUUUUUAUGUGUAUUUGUUUUAUGUAAUUAGAUGAUAUUGAAAUAUUGAAGUUGUUUUAUUUUACUUUUAAAAAAAAAACAGUAAUAGUUGUGUAGCACAAUACCAUAUGUAAUUAUGUUUGGAACUAUUGACA